UUUCCAUUUCCAAAGCACCCGAGGGAGGCACUUACAGACAUCCAGACCCAGCAACAUCCACCUGGUUGUGCUGAGCAAAGGAAAGCCCAAGGUGCUGAACGAUUACAUAGACAUCUGGGACCAAUGAAGAGCCUAGGCUGUCACGGUUAUCUCCGAUGGAGCAGUUAGGGAAGAGGACAACUGCCAACCCCCUAGCGCAUCCCUGGUGCUAAGGGGGCACUGCUGUGAUGGUGGUCGUGGGGCAGCAGCAGUGAAGGAAUCCUGACUGCGUCCUGGCGUCUGGCUGGCUGGUGACCAGGGGCCAUGUGGGCCAGACUGUUGGUAGGCUCAGUCUCAUUUCUGUUCAUGUGAUGGCCUGGGUAUCCCGAAACAUGGUACCCACAAACUCAAGAAGGAAACCAGAGGGAAAGGCAAUGAUGUUGGUACUAAGACAUUUAUUACAUCAUAAAAAAUC